rnacentral:rRNA from 1 species
GAGUUUGAUCGUGGCUCAGGAUGAACGCUGGCGGCGUGCUUAACACAUGCAAGUCGAACGGGAAUUACUUUAUUGAAACUUCGGUCGAUUUAAUUUAAUUCUAGUGGCGGACGGGUGAGUAACGCGUGGGUAACCUGCCUUAUACAGGGGGAUAACAGUCAGAAAUGACUGCUAAUACCGCAUAAGCGCACGGAACCGCAUGGUUCUGUGUGAAAAACUCCGGUGGUAUAAGAUGGACCCGCGUUGGAUUAGCUUGUUGGUGAGGUAACGGCUCACCAAGGCGACGAUCCAUAGCCGGCCUGAGAGGUGAACGGCCACAUUGGGACUGAGACACGGCCCAAACUCCUACGGGAGGCAGCAGUAGGGAAUUUUCGUCAAUGGGGGGAACCCUGAACGAGCAAUGCCGCGUGUGUG